rnacentral:rRNA from 1 species
AAGACCUUGCGCUUUUGGAGCGGCCGAUGUCUGAUUAGCUUGUUGGUAAGGUAAAAGCUUACCAAGGCUUCGAUCAGUAGCUGGUCUGAGAGGACGGCCAGCCACACUGGGACUGAGACACGGCCCAGACUCCUACGGGAGGCAGCAGUGGGGGAUUUUGGACAAUGGGGGCAACCCUGAUCCAGCCAUGCCGCGUGAGUGAAGAAGGCCUUCGGGUUGUAAAGCUCUUUCAGCCGGAACGAAACGGUUACGGUUAAUACCCGUGACUACUGACGGUACCGGAAGAAGAAGCACCGGCUAACUACGUGCCAGCAGCCGCGGUAAUACGUAGGGUGCAAGCGUUAAUCGGAAUUACUGGGCGUAAAGCGUGCGCAGGUGGUUUUGUAAGUCAGAUGUGAAAUCCCCGGGCUUAACCUGGGAACU